UACAGAGGGGGCUAGCGUUGUUCGGAAUUACUGGGCGUAAAGGGCGCGUAGGUGGCCUGUUAAGUCGAACGUGAAAUCCCCGGGCUCAACCCGGGAACUGCGUCCGAGACUGGCAGGCUCGAAUCCGGGAGAGGGAUGUGGAAUUCCCAGUGUAGCGGUGAAAUGCGUAGAUAUUGGGAAGAACACCUGAGGCGAAGGCGGGUUGCUGGGCUGAUACUGACGCUGAGGCGCGAAAGCCAGGGGAGCAAACGGG
rnacentral:rRNA from 1 species